rnacentral:rRNA from 1 species
AACGAACGCUGGCGGCAGGCCUAACACAUGCAAGUCGAACGCUCUCUUCGGAGGGAGUGGCGGACGGGUGAGUAUCGCGUGGGAACCUAGCCUUUGGUACGGAACAACCGCGGGAAACUGCGGCUAAUACCGUAUAUUCCCUCCGGGGGAAAGAUUUAUCGCCAAGGGAUGGGCCCGCGUCUGAUUAGCUAGUUGGUGAGGUAAUGGCUCACCAAGGCAUCGAUCAGUAGCUGGUCUGAGAGGAUGAUCAGCCACACUGGGACUGAGACACGGCCCAG